GAAGCUGGCUAGACAGUCGCUGCCUUUUUUCAGCAAUGAAAAAUAGGGAGAGGAAAGUCCGGGCUCCAUAGAGUAGGAUGCCGGCUAAUGACCGGCCGCCGUGAGGCGAGGAAUAGGGCCACAGAGACGAGCGUAUUAAAUUACGGUGAAACGCGGUAACCUCCAUCUGGAGCAAGACCAAAUAGGCAGGCCAUGACGUUACUCGCUGAGCCUGCGGGUAGGUUGCUUGAGUGCACGAGUAAUCUUGCGCCUAGAGGAAUGACUGUCCAAGACAGAACCCGGCUUAUCGGCCAGCUUCACUU
rnacentral:RNase_P_RNA from 1 species